GACGUAGGGCGCGAGCGUUGUCCGGAUUUAUUGGGCGUAAAGAGCUCGUAGGCGGCUUGUCGCGUCGGCUGUGAAAGCCCGGAGCUCAACUCCGGGUCUGCAGUCGAUACGGGCAGACUUGAGUGUUGCAGGGGAGACUGGAAUUCCUGGUGUAGCGGUGAAAUGCGCAGAUAUCAGGAGGAACACCGGUGGCGAAGGCGGGUCUCUGGGCCGAUACUGACGCUGAGGAGCGAAAGCAUGGGGAGCGAACAGG
rnacentral:rRNA from 1 species